UGCAUCAAAUUGGGUUACGUUAGGGAAAAGGGUGUAGAUGAGUCUUAAAAAAUACAACACCCUAAAAAAAACAGGUCUCUCUCUUUAGAAAUAGGGUGCACUCCAAACCUUAUUGCAACCAUUAUUGCUAGCAAAUGAAGGAUCAAGAAAAUCAUCGAUGCGCCAGCCUGGAGAGCUGAGGAUUUCGUUGGAAUUCUUUAGGUAUGGCUGAUGGUUUCUAUUGCUAGUAGUGUUAAUGUUUGCGUCAAAGUUAUUAGUGGAGGUCGAUGAUGCUGUGUGCAGAGAAGAAGAAGCAGAGAGCCUUACACCUGUGAGAAGAAACCUGUUGUGUUUCUGAGAAUGUUCAUUAGCUUUGUGAAUUGGGAGGUCACAUUCUCUGCAUAGAAUGGCCCUAUCCUCUUGACAAAACAGGAGGGCUCUCCUCUCCUGAAGAAAAAUAACCACGAAGACUAUAUUUUAUAACCUCAACAAUCACAGUAAGUGAAAAGCAAGUGAAGGAUCUAGCUGGUGGUACCUGACAGAUAUCACAGAGAGGGGAUUCUUUGAAAGAAGGAUGGACUAAAGAGAACCUCGAGUGUUUGCUUGCUAACUUGUUUGCAUGGUGAACUCUGUGAUCACAUCCAUCGCAGAGAGCAGCUUCAUCCGCACAACAGAAAACUGUCGCCUCUACAUUGUCACACACAUCACACCGGAUCUUCAUUACCAUCCUAGUAUACCCCCUCUAAUAUUCUUGGUUGGAGUUUAAUGUAAAGAUAGAUUGUGGUCUUUUGAAAUUGACCUUUAAGAGUGAAUAAAAGGAUACUGACAAAGCUGUUGUGGGAGUAUGGGCAAUAGGGGAGUGGAAAUGGAUGAACAGCUAAGCUCAGGGGUCUUGAAUGUAUAUCUGGCUUUUUUAGAGAAAGCUCUGGAUAGAUGCCAUGUAGUUGUCCUUGGUAUUUCUCUUUCUAUAUAGUAAAGAAGAUGAGCGCAAGUUGGCUUCUGGGCUAUAAAGUUAUUGCACAGUUACCUAGAGCUUUCACUCUCAUUAUCAGUGCUGUCUGAAGUUGGAGGAAUGGCUACCCAUUUUCAUUCACCUUCUAUUUAUUGAUCCAAGCUCCUCUAUUCAUGUUAAAUCGGCAGUAAAUAUAAAUUUACUCCUGUGGGUGGUGGAGCAAUGCUAGCUCAUGGGAGACCAGAGCUGGUUGCUUGACUUGCAUUACCAAUAUUUUAGUUGAUUCAGAA